rnacentral:misc_RNA from 1 species
GAUGAAGAACGUAGCGAAAUGCGAUAAGUAAUGUGAAUUGCAGAAUUCAGUGAAUCAUCGAAUCUUUGAACGCACAUUGCGCCCGCCAGUAUUCUGGCGGGCAUGCCUGUUCGAGCGUCAUUUCUACCAUCAAGCCCCCGGCUUGUGUUGGGGACCUGCGGCUGCCGCAGGCCCUGAAAAGCAGUGGCGGGCUCGCUGUCACACCGAGCGUAGUAGCAUACAUCUCGCUCUGGGCGUGCUGCGGGUUCCGGCCGUUAAACCACCUUCAUAACCCAAGGUUGACCUCGGAUCAGGUAGGAAGACCCGCUGAACUUAAGCAUAUCAAUAAGCGGAGGA